AUGGACCACUCGUACACUCCGGUUCCUGCGUGCCUUCCAGACUCACCUGACGACUGCUUGCUACGUCUUUGUUAGCC
rnacentral:sRNA from 1 species